UUAGGCAUGACUAGAUAAGCCUUUGUCAAAACGAAAAGUACACGUGUGUCCUAACCUUGAAAUUUUAUUUCCCUCCCAGCUCUGAGGUUUAUAAAUAGGGUGCACAUUUACACUCUGCACACUUGGGGACAGUCAACAAGCACAGUCUGCUGCGAGUCUACCUUCACAUGUAUUAGGGGCCAAACAUCGGAACACAAACAAAGCUCAAAGAAGUUCAUUUUGUUGGUUGUCACGAACAAAGACAAAGACAGGCAUUCACAAGAAUCUGUGUACAUUCACUGACAUUGUAAGCAAGAUGUUGACUGAGUUGAUACUUGUGACAGCUGUUGUGCUGUUUCUCGCCUACAUAUAUCAGUGACAACGGAAGUAUAGCAAGAUGCCUCCAGGUCCAAAACCACUGCCAAUACUGGGAAAUUUCUUCGAAUUGAAAGAAGGUACAAUGGUACAAGAUCUGACCCAUUUGGGUUCGCAAUGCAAUGGCAUAUUCACCGUCUAUAUGCUAAUGACGCCGAUAGUCAUUCUGGACAAUCUUAAAACUAUAAACGACCUCCUUCUUUCUCCCGAAUAUGCUGACGUCUUCAGUGGAAGGACUAACACAUACUUUAGCAAGCAUUUGCUACCGCAUGAUAUGAUUUUCCAAACGGCCAGUGACAGGCAGCAGUACUUGAGAAAACUUGCCUUUCGAGGAAUAAAACAAUAUGGAACUGCACUGAAAAAUGUUGAGCAUCAUGCUCAAGUAGAAAUACAAGAAAUGAUUAACAAGUGCAGAGAACGAAAUGGCGUCUCGUUUGACCCGUGGGAGGACCUGAAUCAGUAUGUCAGCAACGUGAUCUUGAUAUUGAUUUGUGGAAAAAGAUAUGAUCCUGGCCAUAAGGCACUGGAAGCUUGUUAGAAAAUUGCUGCUGACUUUGAGUACCUCUUCAACUUCAAGAAUCAGAUUUUCAUGGACAAUGUUCCGUUAAGUACAAAGUUGAUGCCGAACCUGAGACGGGCUUGUCAAACUAUAAAGGACGGUUACCACUAUUUUGCUGAGACUGUUGACAAAAUAUCAAAGGAAUCCAAAGGUACAAUGUCCCAUUUAGUACAAAGUUGAUGCCGAACCUAAGACGGGCUUGUCAAGCUAUGAAGGUCGGUUACCACUAUUUUACUGAGACUGUUGACAAAAUAUCAAAGGAAUCCAAGGGUACGAUGCCCGACUGUCUGUACACAUUGCUUCUGAAAGAGCAUGAGGAGGGAAAGAUAUCAAAGGAAAAUGUGAAAGGACUUCUGAUAGAUUCCCUGAUUGCAGGUAUCUUCACAACAAAACCAACCAUGUACACUGCCCUUAUGGCAAUGGUAAGCUUCCCUGAGGUCCAGAAGAAGAUCCAGGAAGAGAUCCAGAGGGUGGUUGGGAAGGACCGACUUCCGGGUUUGGAGGACCGGAACAAAAUGCCCUACACCAGGGCAGUGGAACUAGAAUUAUACCGCUACUUCACUCCUGUUGGAGCAGCUGGUCCAAGGAACACUA